rnacentral:lncRNA from 1 species
GGAUGACGUGGCUACCCUUGGGCACACGGUAGCCCGCAACAAUGGUGUCGGCAAUCGCGACGUGCGGCAGGUUGAAGGGAGCGAUUGGGUGGAGGCGAAAUGCCUCACGUAUGCACGCCUUGAGAUAGUUGAGAUGCAUGAUGUCCGACUCUUGCACCAGUCGCUCGCGACCGACCACCCGGUCCUGUUGGGGAACGUAGCAGAAAUUCAAAAUUUUCCUACGUGUCACCAAGAUCUAUCUAUGGAGAAACCAGCAACGAGGGGAAGGAGAGUGCAUCUACAUACCCUUGUAGAUCGCUAAGCGGAAGCGUUCAAGUGAACGGGGUUGAUGGAGUCGUACUCGUCGUGAUUCAAAUCACCGAUGAUCAAGUGCCGAACGUACGGCACUUCCGCGUUCAACACACGUACAACCCGGUGACGUCUCCCACGCCUUGAUCCAGCAAGGAGAGAGGGAGAGGUUGAGGAAGACUCCAUCCAACAGCAGCACAACGGUGUGGUGGUGGUGGAGGAGCGUGGCAAUCCCGCAGGGCUUCGCCAAGCACCAUGGGAGAGGAGGAGUGGGGAGAGACAGGGCUGCACCAAGAGGGAGAGAACUCAUGUGUAUGGCAGCCCCAAACCUCAACUAUAUAUAGGGGGAAGGGGGGGCUGCGCCCCCUUUAGGGUUUCCCACCCCCAAGGGGUGCGGCCAGCCCUAGAUGGCAAAGGGGGUGGCGGCCAAGAGGGGAGAGGAGAGGGAGGCGCACCAAUAUGGGCCUUAAGGCCCAUCUGGACUAGGGUUUGCCCCCUCCCACUCUCCCUUGCGCCUUGGCCCCCUUGUGGGGGGCGCACCAGCCCUCCUAGGGGCUGGUCCCCUCCCACACUUGGCCCACGCAACCUUCUGGGGCAGGUGGCCCCACUUGGUGGACCCCCGGGACCCUCCCGGUGGUCCCGGUACAAUACCGAUAUCGCCCGAAACUUUUCCGGUGACCAAAACAGGACUUCCCAUAUAUAAAUCUUUACCUCCAGACCAUUCCGGAACUCCUCGUGACGUUCGGGAUCUCAUCCGGGACUCCGAACAACAUUCGGUAACCACAUACAAGCUUCCUUUAUAACCCUAGCGUCACCGAACCUUAAGUGUGUAGACCCUACGGGUUCGGGAGACAUGUAGACAUGACCGAGACGUUCUCCGGUCAAUGACCAACAGCGGGAUCUGGAUACCCAUGAUGGCUCCCACAUGUUCCACGAUGAUCUCAUCGGAUGAACCACGGUGUCAAGGACUUAAUCAAUCCCGUAUUCAAUUCCCUUUGUCUAUCGGUAUGUUACUUGCCCGAGACUCGAUCGUCGGCAUCCAAUACCUUGUUCAAUCUCGUUACCGGCAAGUCACUUUACUCGUUCCGUAACACAUCAUCCCGUGAUCAACUCCUUGGUCACAUUGCGCAUAUGAUGAUGUCCUACUGAGUGGGCCCAGAGAUACCUCUCCGUUUACACGGAGUGACAAAUCCCAGUCUCGAUCCGCAUAAAACAAUGGAUACUUUCGGAGAUACCUGUAGUGCACCUUUAUAGUCACCCAGUUACGUUGUGACGUUUGAUACACCCAAAGCACUCCUACGGUAUCCAGGAGUUACACGCUCUCAUGGUCAAAGGAAGAGAUACUUGACAUUUGGCAAAGCUCUAGCAAACGAACUACACGAUCUUUGUGCUAGGCUUAGGAUUGGGUCUUGUCCAUCACAUCAUUCUCCUAAUGAUGUGAUCCCGUUAUCAACGACAUCCAAUGUCCAUAGCCAGGAAACCAUGACUAUCUGUUGAUCACAACGAGCUAGUCAACUAGAGGCUCACUAGGGACAUGGUGUUGUCUAUGUAUUCACACGUGUAUUACGAUUUCCGGAUAAUACAGUUAUAGCAUGAAUAAAAGACUAUUAUCAUGAACAAAGAAAUAUAAUAAUAAUCAAUUUAUUAUUGCCUCUUGGGCAUAUUUCCAACAGUCUCCCAGUUGCACUAGAGUCAAUAAUCCAGUUCACAUCGCCAUGUGAUUAACACUCACAGGUCACAUCGCCAUGUGACUAAUACCCAAGAGUUUACUAGAGUCAGUAGUCUAGUUCACAUCACUAUGUGAUUAACACUCAAUGAGUUUUAUGUUUGAUCAUGUUGCUUGUGAGAGAGGUUUUAGUCAACGGGUCUGAACCUUUCAGAUCCGUGUGUGCUUUACAAAUCUCUAUGUCAUCUCCUAGAUGCAGCUACCACGCUCUAUUUGGAGCUAUUCCAAAUAACUGUUCUACUUGGAGCUAUUCUAAAUUAUUGCUCCAUUAUAUGUAUCCGGUCUCUCUACUCAGAGCUAUCGGAUAGGUGUCAAGCUUGCAUCGACAUAACCCUUUACGACGAACUCUUUUACCACCUCCAUAAUCGAGAAAAUUCCUUAGUCCACUAGUUACUAAGAAUAACUUUGACCGCUGUCCUGUGAGCCAUUCUUGGAUCACUCUUGUACCCCUUGACUAACUCAUGGCAAGGCACACUUCAGGUGCGGUACACAGCAUAGCAUACUGAAGAGCCUACGUCUUAAGCAUAGGGGACGACCUUCGUCCUUUCUCUCUAUUCUGCCGUGGUCGAGCUUUAAGUCUUAACUUCGUACCUUACAACUCAGGCAAGAACUCCUUCUUUGACUGGUCCAUCUUGAACACCUUCAAGAUCAUGUCAAGGUAUGUGCUCAUUUGAAAGUAUUAUUAGGCAUUUUGAUCUAUCCUUAUAGAUCUCGAUGCUCAAUGUUCAAGUAGCUUAAUCCAGGUUUUCUAUUGAAAAACACCUUUCAAAUAACCCUAUAUGCUUUCUAGAAAUUCUACAUCAUUUCUGAUCAACAUAUACUCAUCAGAAAUUCUAUAGUGCUCCCACUCACUUCUUUGGAAAUACAAGUUUCUCAUAUACUCAUCAGAAAAUCUUUGACCAUCAUCAAAGCAUACAUUCCAACUCCGAGAUGCUCACUCCAGUCCUUAAAAGGAUUGCUGGAGCUUUGCAUACUUAUUAGCAUCUUUUGGGAUUGACAAAACCUUCCGGUUGUAUCACAUACAACCUUUCCUCAAUAAAAUCAUCGAGGAAACAAUGUUUUGACAUCCUAUCUGCAGGAUUUCAUAAAUAAUGCAGUAAUCGCUAAUAUAAUUCCAACAGACUCUUAGCAUCGCUACGAGUGAGAAAAUCUCAUCGUAGUCAACUCCUUGAACUUGUCGGAAAACAUCUUAACGACAAGUCGAGCUUUCUUAAUGGUGACAUUUACCAUCAUUGUUCGUCUUCCUUUUGAAAUCCAUCUGUACUCAUUAGCCUUACGACCAUCGAGCCAUUUUGCCAAAGUCUACACUUUGUUUUCAUACAUGGAUCCUCUCUCGGAUUUUAUGGCCUCAAGCCAUUUAUCGGAAUCCGGGCCCACCAUCGCUUCUCCAUAGCUCGUAGGUUCAUUGUUGUCUAGCAACAUGACUUCCAAGACAGGAUUACCGUACCACUCUGAAGUAGUACGUAUCCUUGUCACCCUACGAGGUACGGCAGUGAUUUGAUCUGAAACUUCAUGAUCAAUAUCAUAAGCUUCCACUUCAAUUGGUGUAUGUGCCACGGGAACAACUUCCUGUGCCCUGCUACACACUGGUUGAAGUGAUGGUUCAAUAACCUCAUCAAGUCUCCACCAUCCUCCCACUCAACUCUUUCGAGAGAAACCUUUCCUCGAGAAAGGACCCGAUUCUAGAAACAAUUCAUAUUGCUUUCGGAUCUGAAUUAGGAGGUAUACCCAACUGUUUUGGGUGUCCUAUGAAGAUGUAUUUUAUCCGCUUUGGGUUCGAGCUUAUCAAUCCUGAAACUUUUUCACAUAAGCGUCACAGCCCCAAACCUUUAAGAAACGACAACUUAGGUUUCUCCAAAUGGUGUCGUCUCAACGGAAUUAUGUGGUGCCCUAUUUAAAGUGAAUGUGGUUGUCUCUAAUGCCUAACCCAUGAACGAUAGUGGUAAUUCGAUAAGAGACAUCAUGGUACGCACCAUAUCCAAUAGGGUGCAACUAUGAUGUUCGGACACACCAUCACACUAUGGUGUUCCAGGCAGUAUUAAUUGCGAAACAAUUUCCACAAUGUCUUAAUUGUGUGCCAAAACUCCUAACUCAGAUAUUCAUCUCUAUGAUCAUAUCAUAGACAUUUAAUCCUCUUGUCACAAUGAUCUUCUACUUUACUCUGAAAUUACUUGAACCAUUCAAUAACUCAGACUUGUGUUUCAUCAAGUAAAUAUUCUCAACAUCUACUCAAAUCAUCUGUGAAGUAAGAACAUAACGAUAUUCACUGCAUGCCUCAGCACUCAUUGGACUGCACACAUCAAAAUGUGUUGCUUCCAACAAGUUGCUAUCUUGUUCCAUUUUACUGAAAACGAGGCUUUUCAGUCAUCUUGCCCAUGUGGUAUGAUUUGCAUAUCUCAAGUGAUUCAAAAUCAAGUGAGUCCAAACGGUCCAUUUGCAUGGAGUUUCUUCAUGCAUAUACACCAACAGACAUGGUUCGCAUGUCUCAAACUUUUCAAAAAUGAGUGAGUCCAAAGAUCCAUCAACAUGGAGCUUCUUCAUGCGUUUUAAACCAAUAUGACUUACAUGGCAGUGCCACCAGUAAGUGGUACUAUCAUUACUAUCUUUUGGCAUGAAAAUGUGUAUCACUACGAUCGAGAUUCAAUAAACCAUUUUAGGUGCAAGACCACUGAAGGUAUUAUUCACAUAAAUAGAGUAACUAUUAUUCUCCUUAAAUGAAUAACCGUAUUGCGAUAGACAUAAUCCAAUCAUGUCUAUGCUCAACGCAAACACACAAUGAACGUUAUUCAGGUUUAAUACUAAUCUUGAUGGUAGAGGGAGCGUACGAUGUUUGAUCACAUCAGACUUGGAAACACUUCCAACACAUAUCGUCAGCUCUCCUUUAGCUAGUCUCCGUUUAUUCCGUAGCUUUUAUUUCGAGUUACUAACACUUAGCAACCGAACCGGUAUCUAAUACCCUGGUGCUACUAGGAGUACUAGUAAAGUACACAUUAACAUAAUGUAUAUCCAAUAUACUUCUAUCGACUUUGCCAGCCUUCUCAUCUACCAAGUAUCUAGGGUAAUUCUGCUCCAGUGGCUGUUCCCCUUAUUACAGAAGCACUUAGUCUCGGGUUUUGGGUUCAACCUUGGGUCUCUUCACUAGAGUAGCAGCUGAAUUGCCGUUUCAUGAAGUAUCCCUUUGUUCCCUUGCCCUUCUUGAAACUAGUGGUUUCACCAACCAUCAACAAUUGAUGCUCUUUCUUGAUUUCUACUUUCGCGGUGUCAAACAUCGCGAAUACCUCAAGGAUCAUCAUAUCUAUCCCUGAUAUGUUAUAGUUCAUCACGAAGCUCUAGCAGCUUGGUGGCAAUGACUUUGGAGAAACAUCACUAUCUCAUUUGGAAGAUCAACUCCCACUCGAUUCAAGUGAUUGUUGCACUCAGACAAUCUGAGCAGAAGCUCAACGAUUGAGAUUUUCUCCCUUAGUUUGUAGGCUAAGAAAAUUGUCGGAGGUCUUAUACCUCUUGACGUGGGCACGAGCCUGAAAUCCCAAUUUCAGCCCUCGAAGCAUCUCAUAUGUUUCGCGAUGUUUCGAAAACGUCUUUCGUGCCUCAACUCUAAACCGUUUAACUGAACUAUCACGUAGUUAUCAAGACGUGUAUGUCCGAUGUUCACAACAUCCACAAACGACGUUUGGGGUUCAGCAUACUGAGCGGUGCAUUAAGGACAUAAGCUUUCUACUGAUCGCAUAAUCGCUACUAUUAACUUUCAACUAUAAUUUUCUCUAGGAACAUAUCUAAACAGUAGAACUAUAGCGCGAGCUACGACAUAAUUUGCAAAAGGUCUUUUGACUAUGUUCAGGAUAAUUAAGUUCAUCUUAUGAACUCCCACUCAGAUAGACAUCCCUCUGGUCAUCUAAGUGAUCACAUGAUCCGAGUCAACUAGGCCGUGUCCGAUCAUCACGUGAGACGGACUAGUCAUCAUCGGUGAACAUCUUCAUGUUGAUCGUAUCUUCUAUACGACUCAUGCUCGACCUUUCGGUCUCCGUGUUCCGAGGCCAUGUCUGCACAUGCUAGGAUCAUCAAGUUAACCCUAAGUGUUUCCGCUGUGUAAAACUGUCUUACACCCGUUGUAUGUGAACGUAAGAAUCCAUCACACCCGAUCAUCACGUGGUGCUUAGAAGCGACAAACUGUAGCAACGGUGCACAACUAGGGGAGAACACUUCUUGAAAUUUUGUAAGGGAUCAUCUUAUUUACUACCGUCGUCCUAAGUAAACAAGAUGCAUAAUCAUAAUAAACAUCACAUGCAAUUAUAUAGUUGUGACAUGAUAUGGCCAAUAUCAUAUAGCUCCAUUGAUCUCCAUCUUCGGGGCUCCAUGAUCAUCUUGUCACCGGCUUGACACCAUGAUCUCCAUCAUCAUGAUCUCCAUCAUCGUGUCUUCAUGAAGUUGUCACGCCAAUGACUACUUCUACUUCUAUGGCUAACGCGUUUAGCAAUAAAGUAAAGUAAGUUACAUGGCGUUCUUCAAUGACACGCAGGUCAUACAAUAAAUUAAAGACAACUCCUAUGGCUCCUGCCGGUUGUCAUACUCAUCGACAUGGAAGUCGUGAAUCCUAUUACAAGAACAUGAUCAAUCUCAUACAUCACAUAUCAUUCAUCACAUUCUUCUUGGCCAUAUCACAUCACAUAGCAUACCCUGCAAAAACAAGUUAGACGUCCUCUAAUUGUUGUUUGCAUGUUUUACGUGGCUGCUAUGGGUUUCUAGCAAGAACGUUUCUUACCUACGCAAUACCACAACGUGAUAUGCCAAUUGCUAUUUACCCUUCAUAAGGACCCUUUUCAUCGAAUCCGUUCCGACUAAAGUGGGAGAGACUGGCACCCGCUAGCCACCUUAUGCACCAAGUGCAUGUCAAUCGAUGGAACCUGUCUCACGUAAGAGUACGUGUAAGGUCGGUCCGGGCCGCUUCAUCCCACAAUACCGUCGAAACAAGAUUGGACUAGUAACGGUAAGCAUAUUGAACAAAAUCAACGCCCACAACUACUUUGUGUUCUACUCGUGCAAAGAAUCUACGCAAUAGACCUAGCUCAUGAUGCCACUGUUGGGGAACGUAGCAGAAAUUCAAAAUUUUCCUACGUGUCACCAAGAUCUAUCUAUGGAGAAACCAGCAACGAGGGGAAGGAGAGUGCAUCUACAUACCCUUGUAGAUCGCUAAGCGGAAGCGUUCAAGUGAACGGGGUUGAUGGAGUCGUACUCGUCGUGAUUCAAAUCACCGAUGAUCAAGUGUCGAACGUACGGCACCUCCGCGUUCAACACACGUACAGCCCGGUGACGUUUCCCACGCCUUGAUCCAGCAAGGAGAGAGGGAGAGGUUGAGGAAGACUCCAUCCAACAGCAGCACAACGGCGUGGUGGUGGUGGAGGAGCGUGGCAAUCCCGCAGGGCUUCGCCAAGCACCAUGGGAGAGGAGGAGUGGGGAGAGACAGGGCUGCACCAAGAGGGAGAGAACUCAUGUGUAUGGCAGCCCCAAACCUCAACUAUAUAUAGGGGGAAGGAGGGGCUGCGCCCCCUUUAGGGUUUCCCACCCCCAAGGGGUGCGGCCAGCCCUAGAUGGCAAAGGGGGUGGCGGCCAAGAGGGGAGAGGAGAGGGAGGCGCACCAAUAUGGGCCUUAAGGCCCAUCUGGACUAGGGUUUGCCCCCUCCCACUCUCCCUUGUGCCUUGGCCCCCUUGUGGGGGGCGCACCAGCCCUCCUAGGGGCUGGUCCCCUCCCACACUUGGCCCACGCAAUCUUCUGGGGCAGGUGGCCCCACUUGGUGGACCCCCGGGACCCUCCCGGUGGUUCCGGUACAAUACCGAUAUCGCCCGAAACUUUUCCGGUGACCAAAACAGGACUUCCCAUAUAUAAAUCUUUACCUCCGGACCAUUCCGGAACUCCUCGUGACGUCCGGGAUCUCAUCCGGGACUUCGAACAACAUUCGGUAACCACAUACAAGCUUCCUUUAUAACCCUAGCGUCACCGAACCUUAAGUGUGUAGACCCUAUGGGUUCGGGAGACAUGUAGACAUGACCGAGACGUUCUCCGGUCAAUAACCAACAGCGGGAUCUGGAUAUCCAUGAUGGCUCCCACAUGUUCCACGAUGAUCUCAUCGGAUGAACCACGAUGUCAAGGACUUAAUCAAUCCCGUAUUCAAUUCCCUUUGUCUAUCGGUAUGUUACUUGCCCGAGACUCGAUCGUCGGCAUCCAAUACCUUGUUCAAUCUCGUUACCGGCAAGUCACUUUACUCGUUCCGUAACACAUCAUCCCGUGAUCAACUCCUUGGUCACAUUGCGCAUAUGAUGAUGUCCUACCGAGUGGGCCCAGAGAUACCUCUCCGUUUACACGGAGUGACAAAUCCCAGUCUCGAUCCGCAUAAAACAAUAGAUACUUUCGAAGAUACUUGUAGUGCACCUUUAUAGUCACCCAGUUACGUUGUGAUGUUUGAUACACCCAAAGCACUCCUACGGUAUCUAGGAGUUACACGCUCUCAUGGUCAAAGGAAGAGAUACUUGACAUUUGGCAAAGCUCUAGCAGACGAACUACACGAUCUUUGUGCUAGGCUUAGGAUUGGGUCUUGUCCAUCACAUCAUUCUCCUAAUGAUGUGAUCCCGUUAUCAACGACAUCCAAUGUCCAUAGCCAGAAAACCAUGACUAUCUGUUGAUCACAACGAGCUAGUCAACUAGAGGCUCACUAGGGACAUGGUGUUGUCUAUGUAUUCACACGUGUAUUAUGAUUUCCGGAUAAUACAGUUAUAGCAUGAAUAAAAGACUAUUAUCAUGAACAAAGAAAUAUAAUAAUAAUCAAUUUAUUAUUGCCUCUAGGGCAUACUUCCAACAGGUCCAUCUCCUCCACCGCCUUGGCCAGCAAUUCUGGGUUGUUCACCAUCUCCGCCAGCGCCCACUCCACUGCGUUUGACGGGUUAUCUAUGGCCGCUAAUAUUAUGCCCUGCAUGCAUUCCAUGGAG